rnacentral:rRNA from 1 species
GGUGACGGUACCUGCAGAAGAAGCGCCGGCUAACUACGUGCCAGCAGCCGCGGUAAUACGUAGGGCGCAAGCGUUGUCCGGAAUUAUUGGGCGUAAAGAGCUCGUAGGCGGUUUGUCGCGUCUGCUGUGAAAGCCCGGGGCUCAACCCCGGGUCUGCAGUGGGUACGGGCAGACUGGAGUGCAGUAGGGGAGACUGGAAUUCCUGGUGUAGCGGUGAAAUGCGCAGAUAUCAGGAGGAACACCGAUGGCGAAGGCAGGUCUCUGGGCUGUAACUGACGCUGAGGAGCGAAAGCAUGGGGAGCGAACAGGAUUAGAUACCCUGGUAGUCCAUGCCGUAAACGUUGGGCACUAGGUGUGGGGGACAUUCCACGUUUUCCGCGCCGUAGCUAACGCAUUAAGUGCCCCGCCUGGGGAGUACGGCCGCAAGGCUAAAACUCAAAGGAAUUGACGGGGGCCCGCACAAGCGGCGGAGCAUGCGGAUUAAUUCGAUGCAACGCGAAGAACCUUACCAAGGCUUGACAUGGGCCGGAUCGCCGCAGAAAUGCGGUUUCCCUUCGGGGCCGGUUCACAGGUGGUGCAUGGUUGUCGUCAGCUCGUGUCGUGAGAUGUUGGGUUAAGUCCCGCAACGAGCGCAACCCUCGUUCUAUGUUGCCAGCGCGUGAUGGCGGGGACUCAUAGGAGACUGCCGGGGUCAACUCGGAGGAAGGUGGGGACGACGUCAAAUCAUCAUGCCCCUUAUGUCUUGGGCUUCACGCAUGCUACAAUGGCCGGUACAAAGGGUUGCGAUACUGUGAGGUGGAGCUAAUCCCAAAAAGCCGGUCUCAGUUCGGAUUGAGGUCUGCAACUCGACCUCAUGAAGUCGGAGUCGCUAGUAAUCGCAGAUCAGCAACGCUGCGGUGAAUACGUUCCCGGGCCUUGUACACACCGCCCGUCAAGUCACGAAAGUUGGUAACACCCGAAGCCGGUGGCCUAACCCCUUG